GACGAACGCUGGCGGCGUGCUUAACACAUGCAAGUCGAACGGAAAGGCCCUGCUUUUGUGGGGUGCUCGAGUGGCGAACGGGUGAGUAACACGUGAGUAACCUGCCCUUGACUUUGGGAUAACUUCAGGAAACUGGGGCUAAUACCGGAUAGGAGCUCCUGCUGCAUGGUGGGGGUUGGAAAGUUUCGGCGGUCGGGGAUGGACUCGCGGCUUAUCAGCUUGUUGGUGGGGUAGUGGCUUACCAAGGCCUUGACGGGUAGCCGGCCUGAGAGGGUGACCGGCCACAUUGGGACUGAGAUACGGCCCAGACUCCUACGGGAGGCAGCAGUGGGGAAUAAUGCACAAUGGGCGGAAGCCUGAUGCAGCAACGCCGCGUGCGGGAUGACGGCCUUCGGGUUGUAAACCGCUUUCGCCUGUGACGAAGCGUGAGUGACGGUAAUGGGUAAAGAAGCACCGGCUAACUACGUG
rnacentral:rRNA from 1 species